AGAGGGGGCAAGCGUUGUUCGGAAUUACUGGGCGUAAAGGGCGCGUAGGCGGCCUGUUAAGUCAGACGUGAAAUCCCUCGGCUCAACCGGGGAACUGCGUCUGAUACUGGCGGGCUUGAAUUCGGGAGAGGGAUGUGGAAUUCCAGGUGUAGCGGUGAAAUGCGUAGAUAUCUGGAGGAACACCGGUGGCGAAGGCGGCAUCCUGACCGACAUUGACGCUGAGGCGCGAAAGCCAGGGGAGCAAACGGGAUUAGAUACCCCGGUAGUCCUGGCCCUAAACGAUGAGUGCUUGGUGUGGCGGGUAUCGAUCCCUGCCGUGCCGAAGCUAACGCAUUAAGCACUCCGCCUGGGGAGUACGGUCGCAAGGCUA
rnacentral:rRNA from 1 species